GUCAAAUUGUCAAUUCACUAUGAAAAAAUAUUUUGUGAUUUCAGAAUUAUGAUCUUUAUAAAUUUUUUUUAUUUCAAUAUAUGAAACAAAAAGAAGUGAAAAUUUGGCACUGAACGUUGGAUAUUUAAAAAUUAUUUAGCUCUGUAUUAUUUUGGUAUCGCAAUGUAUCCAAUUUUCUAUAAAUUUCCAAGGGCUAUACAACCUUUU